AACGACGCUGGCGGCGUGCCUAACACAUGCAAGCCGAGCGAGAAAGUCCCUUCGGGGGCGAGUAAAGCGGCGGACGGGUGAGUAAUACAUGGAUAAUCUUCCCUCGAGCCUGGGAUAACCCUGCGAAAGUGGGGGCUAAUACCGGAUAAGACCACAUGACACAUGUCACGGGGUAGAAGGUGGCUUGUAUUUAUAUGAGCUAUCACUUGAGGAUGAGUCCAUGGCCUAUCAGCUAGUUGGUGAGGUAAGAGCUUACCAAGGCUAUGACGGGUAGCUGGUCUGAGAGGACGACUAGCCACACUGGGACUGAGACACGGCCCAGACUCCUACGGGAGGCAGCAGUGGGGAAUAUUGGGCAAUGGGCGAAAGCCUGACCCAGCGACGCCGCGUGGGUGAUGAAGGCCUUCGGGUUGUAAAACCCUUUCGUGCGGAAAGAAUAGUCCUGUAGCGAAUAACUACGGGAUUUGACGGUACCGCAGGAAGAAGCACCGGCUAACUCCGUG
rnacentral:rRNA from 1 species